rnacentral:rRNA from 1 species
UACGUAGGGGGCGAGCGUUAUCCGGAUUUACUGGGCGUAAAGCGCGCGCAGGUGGUUUCUUAAGUCUGAUGUGAAAGCCCACGGCUCAACCGUGGAGGGUCAUUGGAAACUGGGGAACUUGAGUGCAGAAGAGGAAAGUGGAAUUCCAAGUGUAGCGGUGAAAUGCGUAGAGAUCCGGAGGAACACCGAAGGCGAAGGCAGUGUCCUGGCUGGUGACUGACGCUGAGGUGCGAAAGCUAGGGGAGCGAACGGG